UUUUUGUUUUUUUUUUUAAUUUGUGUGCCACAUUUGGAAAAUUUUCAGACAUUAUUUCUUCAAAUACUUUAGCCCUGACCUCUAUCUCCUGUCCUCUCCUUCUGGACUUAUGAUGACAUGAAUGCUAGAUCUUUUGUUAGUCUCUGAGGUCCUUGAAGCUGUUUUCUCAGUUCUCCAUAUAUGGCAAUUUCUAUUGUUCUAUCUUCAAGUUCACUGAUUCUGUCUUCUCUGUUCUGCUCUUGAACUCAUCCACUGAAUUUUUAAUUUUGAUUAUAUUUUUCAGUUCUAAAAUUUCCAUUUGGUUCUUCUUUAUAAGCUUUUGUUUUUCUCUUGUGACUUUCUGGGUUUUUUAAUUUGUUUCAAAUGUGUUCACAAUUGUUCAUGGAAGCACUUAUAUGAUGGCUGCUUUCAAAUUUUUUUUUUGGUCUUUUUAUUCUGCCAUGCCUUUCAGGUCCUUGGCUAUAAAGAGUGUCAAUUAAAAAAAAAUCCCCAACCUAAAAGUUGAGAGUUAAGUUUUAUUUGGGGCAAUGAGAAGGUAAGCCUGGGAGGCAGCAUCUCAGGUAAACCUGAGAAACCUGCUCCAAGGAGGAAGAGGCAAGGGAGGGGGUGGGGAUUAGGAUAUAUAGGAGUUUUGCAGCAGAGGGCAGGUGGUAGGAACAAAAGAUUACUGCUAAUAACAGAAAACCAAAGAUCUCAAGUUAAGGAAUUCAGCCCUUUCUAUGGGAAGAUGCAAACGUCUGGGCUCACUGGAACCAUUCCCUUGAGACAUACCUCAGCUAUCUGGGGCCACUACCCUGUGUUUUCACAGCCUGAGUUUUCUCAGGGCUCGCUGUUAGCAGUGGCUGCGAUCUGCUGGCUGCUAGAUGGCAGGUGUUCUGUGGUUCCUUCCCGAGUUCCCUUGGGGCUCAUGGCUCCCCCUUGGAGGUGACUGCACUCGCUGAUGACUGUGACAUCUUCUGUUUUGUAUAUAGGUGACAAAGGUGAAGGCGGAGGUGCAAACGCAGCCAUGCACACAUGUUAUAGUAGCCGCUGCUGGUCUCAUGAAGGUCACUCCUAGCCACGAGGAGCAGACAUCACCAUGAAGGAUUUCAGUGUUUUUCUAGACAUGAGGUGAUGCAAGAAUUGGCUUUUUAAAACCUUCUCCUAAAAAUACCUAUCUGAAGACCUGUUCUUCCAGUUUUCCCAGAGUGUCUCAUUCCUGAUCUCUACCCUGAGCUCUGCAGGUUGGCAGCAGCAGGGGUUCAUGAGUUAAUCCAUGAAGAGGCAGAUGGCAAGUGCCAAUCUCCAGUUCCUAAGAGCAAGCUCUUGUUUUUGUCUACACUGUCUCCUCCAGCUCCUGGUGUAAGGCAUAGGAAACAAGAAGAAAACCCAGAGAAUUCAUCACCUGGUCAUUCCUCAAGGCCUGAGGUCUCUGGUUGCUUUACUCUCAGUGCCUCCUUAUUUGGUUUUAUAUGUAAUUCUCAGGGGGUUUAGCUGUGUUUAGCAGAAAAAAAAGUAGAAAAAAGUGUGUUGACUCUUAUCUUUCCAGAAAAGGAAUUCUCCUGGUGUGUGUGCGUGUGCGCGUGCAUGUGCGUGUGUGUAGUUUAGUCACUGGCUGGAGCUACGAGGAAAGCAAGCAGUGGACACAUGGCACAAAGAUGAACAUGGUGGAAGACUCAGCCCAAACAUUUCCCACAAAGCUGUGCACUUGCUUCAAAUCAAUGAACUGAAAUUUAAUCAGAUCCUUAAAAAAACUGAACUGCAGUGGUCAAGAAAGGAGGAACAUGGGGGUAAGAUGUAUGAAUAUGAAAAAAGGAAGUGUUUGUUAAUUCUAAAUUUUAAAGUUCUCAUUGUUACAUUAAUUCUAAAUUUAAAAGCUGAAUUUGAGCUGAUAGCAUUUCUCGUAGGUGCGGUGAUCUGAAAAGCGAUGCUUCGACCUUCAGGCUAAGACGAUGGUGACUGUCUUGCAGACGUUUAGAUCAGCCCUGGAUGUCCCGCCACGCCAACCCCAAGAGCACAUGAAAUGGUUUAUAGCAAAAGACCCAGAAAUUCUUGGACUAAUGCAGGAAGUUGAGAGUGCUUAUAUGCUGAGAGAAUCAAACAGCAUAUGUAAGCCAGAAAGUUGUGAAAAAAAGAAAAAUAAAAUCCUGCAGGACUUUUUCUUAAAAAGUCAGUCCUGCUAAAAAAUUGUGUUGAAUAGCUUAAAGUAAUCAUUGACAUUAAUGCAGGACUUUGUAGAUAAUGACCUCAAACUCUCUACAUAAGUUCUCUCACGCAUUCCAAAUCUCUUUCCAUCUCUCACUCUCUCCGUUGCUUUCUUUUUUUAGUUGAAGUUUAAAAUUAAAGUAUAGUUGAUUUACAGUGUUGUGCCAAUUUCCGCUGUACAGCAAAGUGACCCAGCCACACACACACACACACACACACACACACACACACAUUCUUUUUCUCACACUAUCGUCCAUCAUGGUCUAUCCCAAGAGACUGGAUAUAGUUCCCUGUGCUGCACAGGAGAACCUCACUGCUUAUCCAUUCUCAAUGUCACAGUUUGCCUCUAUAACCCCACAAUCCCCGUCCAUCCCCUCCUAUCGCUUUCUAAACCUCCUCUCCCUCUCCCCUCCCACACAUUAACACACAUGUAUGCACUUACACACACAAGCACAAGCACACACACAAACCUACAAUGAGCCCAAGUGAAUAUAUUAAAAGGAAAAGCUAAGGGGGCGUCAAGAACCAGUAAAGAGAAUUAUGAGGCUAUAAAACAAAAUCAAAUACCUAGAUUCAUUAAGAAUUUUUAGCUCAACAUCUUCUCUCCAAAUGUUAAAGUCAACACAGAGAUCCAAUUCCUUUCCCGAGGAAGAAGGGCUUUUAAAAGACAUUUUAUAAAGGAGUUUAUGACUAGAAGAUCCAGAUGUGUUCAUGGUUUUAAAAAAUGUUAAGACUAAGAAUGACUGCCCAAAUGAAAGUCUCAGUUUUCUGUUUAAUGUGGUUGUAGCUAUUUAUACUGCCAGGAAUGUUUUAGUUCUCAAAGUUGGGGUAAACACAAAGUUUUACAGAAGAAAUUUUUGAAUUUUGUGAGACUUGGUGACAUAGGACUUUAUGCUGUUUUCAAAACACUAUAACUCCAGACUAACAAAAAGCUUAUUGUAGUUCCAAGUAUUUCAUUAUCAGGACUCUUGCCUUUAGAAUUCAAAUUCUAACUUAAAAAUUAAAUUUUAGAGUUCCCAUUGCGGUCAGUCGGUUAAGAACCCAACUAGUGUCCGCAAGAAUGCAGGUUCCAUCCCUGGCCCCACUCAGUGGGUUAAGGAUCCGGCGUUGCCAUGAGCUAUGGUGUAGGUCACAGACACGGCUUGAGUCCCGUGUUGCUGUGGCUGUGAUGUAGGCUGGCAGCUACAGCUCUGAUUUGACCUCUAACCUGGGAAAUUCCACAUGCCAUGGGUGCGGUCCUUAAAAAAAAGAGUUGGCUUAAUACGCAAUCACCCCAUCUCCCCCCCUACCCCCGCCGGCCUGCACAGAAAUGCCCAGCCAUGUCCUCCGUCUGCAUCAGCCAGGUGCCCCUGCCCCAGUUUACCAGCUACGUCUUCAUGAGCAAUGGAACCUGAACGUUCCCCUGUUUCUGACUCAAGUUCUCCUCUCAGUCGCUUCCAUUUCCUUUGAUUUGCAGUCUCUCAUUUCUCCUAAUUCACAGCGAUGUCUCCCCACGCCCUGCGAGGAGUUUUCCCGAGGUGCUAGUGUUCCGCCAGCCUCUCAUCGGCAGCAGGCCCGUCCUGGUCUGUUUUGCCAACGGGCCCUGGUGCCCCUGGAGCAACACUGGGGCCCAGGCCCCAGGUUUUCUCAGCAGUGGCGGCCACGCCAAGAGGGGCUCGUGCUGUUUCCACCAAUCAGGUGGGGCUUCUGCUAAGGGUUCUCUGAGGCAAAGCUGCCACAUGAGGAGCCAUUAGCUUCCAAGCUGCUCUGGCUCUGGGGAAACACCCUAAAUGGAAACACCCUUCUCCUCCUUCAGUGUCAGCUCUCCUCCGGGCCACACGCCCUGAAGGCUCCCCCCAGACACGGGUGCGAAUCACACCCAAAGUCUCCUGUGCUGGUUGUGAGCGGCAUCCCACUUGCAAAGGGAUGCCGCUUUGAGCUGAAUCAUGUCUCCUAAAAGAUGCAGUGAUAUUUGCAAAUAAAUGUAUGUGAAAUAAGUUAGUCCGAACCCUAGGUACCUAUGCUGCAGUUACUGACACUGAACAGACAGUAAAAUAUGCACAUGAAUCAUUCCUCAUUUUUCUGCCAUUUUAUAACUGAUGCAAACAACACUAGGACUGCAUCUUCUUGUUGUUGUGACAGCUGCACCUGCGGCACACGGAAGUUCUCAGGCUAAGGGUUGAAUCAAAGCUGCAGCUGCUGGCCUACACCACAGCCACAGCCACGGCCACAGCAACACUGGAUCCCAGCUGCAUCCACAACCUACACCACAGCUUGUGGCAACACCAGAUCCUUAACCCACUGAGUGAGGUCAGGGAUCAAACCCACAUUCUCAUGGAUGCUAGCUGGGUUCUUGGCUGAGCCACAAAGGGAACUCCCAGAAGAGGGAAAUUUAGACACAAAAGCACAGAUACACAGGGGAGGGGGAUGCAAAGAUGCAGACAGAGAUUGGAUUGUUGGAGUCACAAGCUGAGGAGCUAGCAAGAGCCAGCAAAAGGCAGCAGAGGCCAGGAAGCCUCCUUCCCUGGGGGGCUUUGGAGAAAGCAUAGCCCUGACAACACAGCGACUUUGGGGUUCUGGCCUCCAGGUCUGGGACAGAGCAAAUGCCUGCUAUUUAAGCUGCCCCACCUGUGGUCCUUGUUAGAUUGGCCCCAGGAAACCAGGACCAAUGCCUUGGGCAUCUUACGCCCAGGUCUGCCGGGCCACACAGCCAGGCAGGCC
rnacentral:lncRNA from 1 species